rnacentral:lncRNA from 1 species
AAAGAUAUUCAGCAUCACUAAUCAUCAGGGAAAUGCUGAUCAAAACUAUACUAUGAUACCACCUUAUGCUUGUUAAAAUGGCUAUAAUCACUAAGACUAAAAAUAGCAAAUGUUAGAGAGGGUGUGGAGAAAAGGGAACCCUCAUACAUUGCUGGUGGGAAUGCAAACUGGUGCAGCCACUAUAGAAAACAGUAUGGAGAUUCCUCAAAAAAUGAAAAAUAGAACUACCAUAUGACCCAGCUAUCCCACUACUGGGUAUCUACCCAAACAACUUGAAAUCAACAAUCCAGGGUAACAUAUGCACCCCUAUGUUCAUUGCAGCACUAUUCACAAUAGCCAAGACACGGAAACAAUCCAAGUGCCCAUCUACUGAUGAUUGGAUAAAGAAGAUGUGCGGCCAGCCCUGUGGCUGAAUGGUUAAGUUCACACACUCUGCUUCAGCAGCCCAGGGUUUCACCAAUUUGGAUCUGGGGCACGGACAUGGCACCGCUCAUCAGGCCAUGGUGAGGCAGCAUCCCACAUGCCACAACUAGAAGGAAAAGCUGGUUUUAGAAGAAUAUCAGGAGGUCAGUUUUUGGAUGUGCUGAGUGUGAGAUGCCUACCCGGUAUCUAAGUGGAGAUCUUAAGUAAGCAGUUGGAUACCAGUCUGAAGUUCAGGGGAGAGGUCUGAGCUAGGGAUAUAAAUUUGGGACACAUCAGCAUGCAGAUGAUAUUUAAAGCCAUGAGACCGGCUGAGACCACAUAAAGAGUGAGUAUAGAUAAAGAAGAGGUCCAAGGACCUGGGAAGCUCUGACAUUUAACAGUUGGGAAGACGAGAGGAAACUAGCAAGAGGGAUCAAGGCGUGGCCAUAAAGGUAGGCAGUGUGUUGUCCUGGAAGGCAAGCGAAGAAAGUUCUUCAAGGGAGAUUGCAUGAUCAAUUCUCCCUAUUGUCAACUGCUGCUAAGUCAAAUCAGAUGAGGACUGAGAAAUGGCUAUUGAUUUAGCAACUGGAAGUUGGUUUCAAAGAAAUGCUUUUGGUCAAGUGGUGAGGAAGAAAAGCUGUUUAGGGUGGGACUGAGACAUAAUGGACAAGAACUCCAGGUUAUGUCUGUGGGAGUAGGUGACUAGGUGGAGCUCUAGGAG